rnacentral:rRNA from 1 species
GACGAACGCUGGCGGCGUGCCUAAUACAUGCAAGUAGAACGCUAAAGAGAGGAGCUUGCUCUUCUUGGAUGAGUUGCGAACGGGUGAGUAACGCGUAGGUAACCUGCCUUGUAGCGGGGGAUAACUAUUGGAAACGAUAGCUAAUACCGCAUAACAAUGGAUGACACAUGUCAUUUAUUUGAAAGGGGCAAUUGCUCCACUACAAGAUGGACCUGCGUUGUAUUAGCUAGUAGGUGAGGUAAUGGCUCACCUAGGCGACGAUACAUAGCCGACCUGAGAGGGUGAUCGGCCACACUGGGACUGAGACACGGCCCAGACUCCUACGGGAGGCAGCAGUAGGGAAUCUUCGGCAAUGGGGGCAACCCUGACCGAGCAACGCCGCGUGAGUGAAGAAGGUUUUCGGAUCGUAAAGUUCUGUUGUAAGUCAAGAACGGGUGUGAGAGUGGAAAGUUCACACUGUGACGGUAGCUUACCAGAAAGGGACGGCUAACUACGUG